rnacentral:rRNA from 1 species
CCUACGGGAGGCAGCAGUGAGGAAUAUUGGUCAAUGGGCGCAAGCCUGAACCAGCCAAGUAGCGUGCAGGAUGACUGCCCUACGGGUUGUAAACUUCUUUUAUAGAGGAAUAAAGUGAGGCCCGUGUGCCUUUUUGUAUGUACUUUAUGAAUAAGGAUCGGCUAACUCCGUGCCAGCAGCCGCGGUAAUACGGAGGAUCCGAGCGUUAUCCGGAUUUAUUGGGUUUAAAGGGAGCGUAGAUGGGUUGUUAAGUCAGUUGUGAAAGUUUGCGGCUCAACCGGAAAAUUGCAAUUGAUACUGGCGGUCUUGAGUACAGUUGAGGUAGGCGGAAUUCGUGGUGUAGCGGUGAAAUGCUUAGAUAUCACGAAGAACUCCGAUUGCGAAGGCAGCUUACUAAACUGCAACUGACAUUGAUGCUCGAAAGUGUGGGUAUCAAACAGGAUUAGAUACCCGUGUAGUC